AUGCUGACGCUCCUCUCCCUCCGACCCCCGCCGCCCGCCGUCGCAAACAUUCUCCCCUCCGCCGCCGCCGCGCAGAGCCGUCCUCCACUGCUCCGCGCUCGCCGCACGGCCGGUCCUCCCCCGCCUUCAGCCGCCGCCGCCGAGUUCCCUGCCGGAUCGGUUCCGGGCAGCGGUACGCAGAUGCCGCCGCGCCGCCGCCGGCUCGUGGCCGGCAUCGACCAGGACGAGCUCCUCGACCCGGACGCGCUCGCGGAUCCUGACAGCAGCUUCUACGAGUUCAACGGCGUCAGGGUCCACCACAAGGUAUGCGCCCAUGGCGAGGACGAGGAUUCGGGCGGCCAGUCCUCGGGCUCCGCCGUCGCCAGGAGUCAGGCCGGGCUGCCCAUAGUGCUGCUUCACGGCUUCGGCGCGUCGGUGUUCUCCUGGAGCCGCGUCAUGCGGCCACUCGCCCGCAUCGCCGGCGCCAAGGUCCUCGCCUUCGACCGGCCGGCGUUUGGCCUGACUUCCCGGACCAGACGGUCCGGCGAUGACACCAAGCCUCUCAACCCUUACUCCAUGGCCUUCUCGGCCAUGGCCACACUGGCAUUCAUAGACCAACUCGGCCCCGGGAAGGCCGUCCUUGUUGGGCACUCUGCCGGCUGCCUCGUUGCAGUGGAGGCGUACUUCGAGGCGCCUGAGCUGGUGGUGGCGCUAGUGCUGGUUGCACCGGCGAUUUUCGCGCCGAGGAAGGGUGAGAAAGAGAACAGCGUAGGGGAGCAGGAAGGGGCAGACAAGAAGGAUUCUGAUGAUAACAAUGCAGCACCAAAUCCAUUUGCUAGGAUAUGGAGAGGGUUUCUUGGCAUGUGUAUGUGGCUUGCAGGGCUUGUUCUGAAGUUGGUCAUGGCAGUGCAGGAUACGGUCAGAGCUUUGUCUUCUAAGCUUCUUGUGGCUUUUCUACGCUCUUCAUUGGCGGCGAGUCUGGUGAGAUUGAUCAUGGAUAAAUUCGGCGUAACGGGCGUUCGUAAUGCAUGGUAUGACCCAAGCAAAGUAACUGAUCAUGUUAUUCAAGGCUACACCAAGCCACUAAGAUCCAAGGGAUGGGAGACAGCUCUCUUGGAGUACACUAUAUCCAUGAUUACAGAUUCUUCACCAAAGUCAAGAGUGCCAGUCUCGAAGAGGCUCUCUGAGAUCUCAUGCCCAGGUUCAACUAUAUGCUUCUUCUAA
rnacentral:rRNA from 1 species